UUUUUUUUCUUAUUUGAAAAUAUCUGUCCAUCGCAUUAAAGUUUUGAAUCACGUAGUAGCUAUAAGUUGCUUCCUCCACUAUUUCUUGCAAAUAUCACUUACAACUUUUGCAACAAAGGUGUUUGAUGAUAUGUAUGACUCAUUCUAUUUGUGUAACAAAACACACAAAUCUUAUUUUCCACUUCCCCUUGGUAGAGUUAUGCUUUUUUAAUGCUUUCAAGUUGGCUUCUCAGUGUCCAAACCAUGGGAAUGAUUUUCAAAUUCCAAGGAAGACUAAACAGUACCUUAUCUGGGAGCAUCUUAUGAAGCCAUUCAAGGAAAACUAAACAGAACCUGAUCUGGGAUCAUUUUUUUUUUCAAGUUCAGUGUGUAUUUGUGGAUAUGCCAUUUUGUUGUUUGAAGACUUCCACCACAUGUAUUUGAGAUUUCAAAUGGAAUAUAGUUUGAAAUGAA